CUUGUUCGGAAGCGUCUGCGCAGGUCAAUGUUGGUCUCGGCUUGAGUCGUUAGACCGCGUUAUGUCCUUUUUUAAUUUCACGCUAUGAACGAUUGCGAAAGCGUUGUGUAGCCGGCAACGUUUCAUCGAGGGACUCAAUCCCUGUAGUUUAUUGAAUUUAUAUUCCAAAUAUCACGGUGAGGAAUAAGAUAUCUUGCGGUGCCAUUGUCAAGCCACGAUGAUCACCAGAAGAAGAGGCCGCACUAUCAACAACACGGAGUCUCUUGAGGUUGAAGUGAUGGAUGCAGUGGAAAUAGUAGAGGAUCUCCCAAGUCCUCCUGGUGGGUUCCCAGCUGACGAUAUUGACAUUGGUGGAAUAGAGAUAGAUGACCUGUUUAGAACUGAAGACUUAAAAUGGACACUUGAAAGAAACAUUGCCUCCCCAUUCUUUGAUAUGGAGUUUGCUGAUCUUGGUGUGCACUGUGCCAAGGAUCAAGAUUCUGGGAUUGAAGUUUCAACAGCCUCAUCUCCAGAGAGAAUGUCAUCUGACUUGAAGAUGAAGAACAGACAAAACCAGUCAAGCCAGAUGAUCAACAAAAAUGCUAUUGCUGCCAGAUUGAACCGUCUCAAGAAGAAAGAAUAUGUCAACAGCCUGGAGAAGAAAGUUGGCAUCCUGUCAACAGAAAACGGCAUCCUCAAACAAGAAAAUGCUCAGCUGACCAAGAGAGUUGAAGAAUUGGAAGAUGAGACCAGGUACCUGAGAGCUGUGCUGGCCAAUGAGAGCAUGUUAGCCCAGCUCUUGUCCAGGCUUAGCGGUGUGAAUGGGAUGAAAUUAUCUUCCUCACUUUUCCAGGGGCCUGACUCAAAUGACCACGACUAUGCCUUACCCAGGAAGCGUGUGAAAGUGGAGGAGAAAGAGACAUCUGGUGGCGUGUGUCUGCAUGUGGACAAGAAUCACGUCUCAGUGGAGUUUUGCACUAAGUGUGCAGAGAGUGCAAGCACAUCGCUUACAAUUUUCUUCUAGGUAAUGGUUGAUCCACCAUACGGGAUGAGUGGCUUUCUGAACACCUUUACCUGCUUGACUCCAUGUGGAUUCUGCUGGUGGAAGGCGAAGAAGCUGGACAAGCUGCUGCCAACGUGGCCUGCUAAUUUUUUUAAGCAAGCUCUCUGCUGAUAAAGGUCUUACUUUUCCUGAACAUUUGGGUCAAGUCUGGUAAAGGUUGUCAAAACAAAUGACCAAGACCUCAUUUGAUGGAAGUACAAAGCACACAAUAUGAGAUGGCCCACAGAGAUUAAUCAUGUUGCCCGUGUUUUAGCCCAUUUACUUCAAAUCAAUUAUUUUUCACCCAAUGUAUUAAACACACUUUUUUUUGUGUGUGUGUUCCAGCUGUGUUGCUAUGUCAGUAAUGAGAGAAAGCUCAGUUUCUAAAAAUUAGGCUUCAUUUCUACCUACUCUUCAGACUUUCAGUGAAAACAGGUCUUAUCAACAUGAUAUGGAUAUAAUCUGGUCAGUUUUAAAUAUUGCAUGGAGUAGUAGUACAAGCAGAAACGGCCACAGUAAGCAGUCAGAUGAAGGGCUGCAGGCGACUGGCUGUUAUGGCAGAUGGCUUUGCUUUGCUUUGGGGUGCAACAGGAAAAUUCACAGUCAGCAUAGCUUGACUGCUUGUGGCCAUUCACAGCAAAGCGUGGAAGGGUGGUUUAGUGUGACUAACCAUCCCACCAUGGAAAGAUUCCCCUCACAAAAACUAUGGAAGCAGUGCUGUUAGAUGGCUGUCUCAUGUCUCUUAGAUUCCGUGGGUUUUAGAGUCUCUGCAAGUUGAAUUUUAUACAGCACUCAAAUAAAAGAUGACUUGUUACUAGAAAAAUGUUUUUUAAACAGUUUUGGGGAAUUGACAGCCACACUGUAAUAGGUGUUUGACUUGAUGUACAUGGGCUAAAAUCUCUAAACAACGGUACAACUGGAAAAUGGAGACUCAUUCAGGUGUUAUUCCAUUGUGUUACUUAAAACCACUGAAUAUAAAGUAAACUGCUGAGUAGCUAUUGUGCUGACAUCAGUUCACAUGAAAACCUGCCUUCCACCUCACAAGUGCUGGGUCAGUAUUCAUCCUGUUCUGGAUGUUUAUUUUCAUGGAAAGUUUUAGUUUUGAUGUGUGCAGCAGAUAAGUCCAGAUUAUAAAUUUAGCUGCACUGGCAUUUACAUUGGUAUGACACCUCGGACGAGAACUAGCCUCUAGCAUACAAAUUGCAGCAACAAUUUUGAAAUAAAUGCUGAGUUUCAGUGUGCAUUUUAAGCUGUGGGAGUCGAGCGUUCUUGACCCAUUUUUAAUGGUUUAAAUACAAUACUGCAGAAUUUGAUGUCUGACAAAAUUGUACUACAGUGAUUUGCACAGUGCAAAUCUUGCUGUGAUGGGACUUUGAAGUUCACACUCCUGGGACCAUAUUUCAUGAAUGGUCCCAUGAGGGACGAAUGUGCCUUCUUGUCGGAACCAACAGAGGGGGCCCAGUGUCACAAGUAGCAGAAAAUUGAAAUGAUGGUUGUGUGAGGAAUGUGUCUCAACCCAGCACAUGAGACCCUGCUGCGUGUGGGGCUGCAGACCGCUCAGUGCCCAUUGCGGUCGUCAUACUCUGGCUCCGCGGUGU